GCAAACUUGGUCAUUUAGAGGAAGUAAAAGUCGUAACAAGGUUUCCGUAGGUGAACCUGCGGAAGGAUCAUUACCGAGUGAGGGUCCCAUGAGGGCUCAACCUCCCACCCGUGUUUACUUAUACCGUGUUGCUUCGGCGGGCCCACUGGGGCCUUGUCCCUGGUCGCUGGGGGGAUGAAGAAUCCCUCGGGUCCGCGCCCGCCGGAGACCCCACAAACUCUUGUCUGAAUUGGUUAGUCUGAGUGAUAAUGAUAAUUAUUAAAACUUUCAACAACGGAUCUCUUGGUUCCGGCAUCGAUGAAGAACGCAGC
rnacentral:misc_RNA from 1 species